rnacentral:rRNA from 1 species
GCAGCGACACUAUGUGUUGUUGGGUAGGGGAGCGUUCUGUAAGCCUGCGAAGGUGGCCUGUGAGGGUUGCUGGAGGUAUCAGAAGUGCGAAUGCUGACAUAAGUAACGAUAAAGCGGGUGAAAAGCCCGCUCGCCGGAAGACCAAGGGUUCCUGUCCAACGUUAAUCGGGGCAGGGUGAGUCGACCCCUAAGGCGAGGCCGAAAGGCGUAGUCGAUGGGAAACAGGUUAAUAUUCCUGUACUUGGUGUUACUGCGAAGGGGGGACGGAGAAGGCUAUGUUAGCCGGGCGACGGUUGUCCCGGUUUAAGCAUGUAGGCUGGUUAUCCAGGCAAAUCCGGAUAAUCAAGGCUGAGGUGUGAUGACGAGGCACUACGGUGCUGAAGUAACAAAUGCCCUGCUUCCAGGAAAAGCCUCUAAGCAUCAGGUAACAUCAAAUCGUACCCCAAACCGACACAGGUGGUCAGGUAGAGAAUACCAAGGCGCUUGAGAGAACUCGGGUGAAGGAACUAGGCAAAAUGGUGCCGUAACUUCGGGAGAAGGCACGCUGGUGUGUAGGUGAAGUCCCUGCGGAUGGAGCUGAGACCAGUCGAAGAUACCAGCUGGCUGCAACUGUUUAUUAAAAACAC